ensembl:snRNA U6 U6 spliceosomal RNA
GUGCUCACAUCAGCAGCACAUAUACUACAGCUGGAAUGGUACAGGGAAGAUUAGCAUGGCCCCUGCACAAGGAUGAUGUGCAAAUUUGUGGACUGUUUCAUAUUUUU